ensembl:lincRNA
GGCCGUGCAGUUGCCAGGCUGCUGUUGAAGGGAACUCAGGGCCACAUUGCGUGACCGUGUGCUUGAUUUUAGGGGAAACCCUGUGGAACCAUAGCAGCAGCUUCAGCAGGAAUGCAUCCAUCCUGAGCCCUCUGCUGCAGGUGCCUGAUGUAGACAGCGAUGGGGCCCCAGACCUGCUGAUUUUCACCCAGGAGCAGGAGGAGGUACAGCCAAGCCUGGCUCUCCUCCCAAGUCACCAAGGCCACCUGCCACACGGCCCUCCUCUGCCUCCCCAUCUGCUGCCACUUACCAGACAGGAUUUGGGUCUGACCACUUGUUGGGGACUCUCCCAGAGCCCCACGUUCCCAACUCCCAUAGACCCAGCAUAUGGAGGGGGCUCCACCUGUACCAGGUAGCUCUGGGGCCUCCCCAAGAACAAUGGAGCACACACUUCCCACUUGUGCUGUUACAGUGUUGGGGGUGAAGCUCUGAGGGCUGGGAGCGUCUGCGAGCACUGAGGCUGCCUCCUGUGCCCCACACUUGGAGGCACUGACCAGUGUCAGACUCUCUGAUGUCAGCACCCCUUUCCUCAAACCCAAGAGCCUGUGGGCCCCUUACCCUUCCAUGUCUCCUGUGGUAGAGUGCCCCGCCCCCAGGCUCAGGUCCCUCUCUUCCUAGGGCUCUGUGUCAUUGCAGGUUAGUGGCCACCUCUACUCAGGCAGCACCGGGCACCAGAUUGGCCUCAGAGGCAGCCUUGGUGUGGACGGAGAAAGUGGCUUCCUCCUUCACGUCACCAGGACGGGUGCCCACUAUAUCCUCUUUCCCUGCGCAAGCUCCCUCUGCGGCUGCUCUGUGAAGGGUCUCUACGAGAAGGUGACCGGGAGGGACGGCCCAUUCAAGAAUGACCCGCACUGGGAGAGCAUGCUCAAUGCCACCACCCGCAGGAUGCUGUCCCACAGCUCGGGAGCAGUGCGCUACCUGAUGCAUGUCCCGGGGAACACCGGCGCAGAUGUGCUCCUUGUGGGCUCAGAGGGCUUCGUGCUGCUGGACGGGCAGGAGCUGACACCCCGCUGGACGCCCAAGGCAGCCCAUGUCCUGAGAAAACCCAUCUUCGGCCACUAUAAACCAGACACCUUGGCUGUAGUCGUUGAAAACGGAACUGGUACCAACAGACAGAUCCUGUUCCUGGACUUUGGCACUGGAACUGUCCUGUGUAGCCUAGCCCUCCCGAGCCUCCCUGGGGGUCCACUGUCCGCCAGCCUGCCGACCGCAGACCACCGCUCAGCCUUCUUCUUCUGGGGCCUCCACGAGCUGGGCAGCACCAGUGAGACGGUACGGGAGCCGCCCUCGGAGCAGCCGUGCUGGGAACCAGGGCCAGAGACCCAGCCUUGGGCUCCACCUGGGAGUGCCCAGAAGCUAAUUGGUGCCUGGGCGACCUCAAAUAAAUUGAAGUCCAGUGACAGUCAGUCAGGAUGAGGUGGUGCAAGCUGAGGGAAAGUGACCUUAGAGGAGUCCAGGGAGAAGGGGCUGAUGGCCUUCGGUGGAUAGGGGAGCACACGGCCAUGCCCAGAAGGGAGUGGCCGCUGGCAAGGACCAGGGUCAGGACCAGGUUGGGCGGGAGGACCUGGGAGGUGGCCACAGAGCUGGGGCUGGCAUGUGGGGGACCCAGAUAGGGCCCCUAGUGAACGCAGAGCUCCAGGCAUGGUCACUCGGACAGCAGUGCCUGUGGGAGUGCCCAGUGAGGGGCGUGGGGCCCACUGCUGCUUCUUGCUCCAGGAGAUGGGGGAGGCCCGGCAUAGCCUGUACAUGUUCCACCCCACCCUGCCCCGUGUGCUGCUGGAGCUGGCCAAUGUCUCUACCCACAUUGUCGCCUUCGAUGGUGAGUGCAGCCUUGGCCAGGGACCCGGGUGUUCCGCGGGGUCUGUCCUGGCUGGUCCCGAGCCGCCCUGACAGCUGUGUCCCCCACCCUGCAGCUGUCCUGUUUGAGCCAAGCCGCCACGCUGCCUACAUCCUCCUGACAGGCCCAGCAGACUCAGAGGCACCCGGACUGGUCUCUGUGAUCAAGCACAAGGUGCGGGACCUCGUCCCAAGCAGCAGGGUGGUCCACCUGGGUGAGGGUGAGCCAGACAGUGAUCAGGCCAUCAGGGACCGGUUCUCCCAGCUGCGGUACCGGAGGGAGGCGUAGAGGCACGCCAGCCAGAGCCUGUGGGAGAGACUCCGCCUGCUGACACUAAACGUCCUGGGAAGUGGGCCCCUUCCUGGGUCUCUGCACUGACUCCCCCACUCCUGACCCUGGUGAUGGUUGCCACUGGGCAGCAGCGGCCUUACCAGUCCUCCGUGAUUGCACCCAGGGACGUGCAUGGGUGAGGGGACACCCUGGGCCUCUCUCCCGCCCAGCGUCCUCCCUGAGUCCCCACACAGGGCCCCACUCUGCACCUCACCAGGGUCCCGCUCACACCAGGCAGCCUUCAUAGUGGUCUCCCUGGGCCACCUUGGGCAGAACUGGGUCAUGCAGCACCCCAUCCUUACCCAGUGCCCUCUCCUUGCCAGCUUCUCCCCAGGCCAGCGCGUAGAAGGAGCCAGGGUGUCCCCAGGACAGGCCGUCCCCCACCCCAUCCUGUAGAAGUCCGUUCCCCUUUUCCCUCCUGUGCUCCAUCCCCCAAGGAGUCAUGGAACUCAGGGUACUGGGUCCUGGGACAGCCUCAGGGCCUCAGCAGGAACCUGAGACAGCUCCAGCUUCCCAGCCCUUCCAGGAGCUGCAGGGGGAUCCUCUAGCGUGGGGGGUGUGACUUGGUUCCUUUGUCCAGGCCCUAUGAGGAAGCCCCCAGCAGGAUAGGUGGGGCCUGCUCUGGAGCUGAGCCCACGGCUGCUCACAGGUGUCCUUAGUGGAGUUGCAGCCGUGUGCUGGCUGCACGUGCUGUGAAUAUCCCGAGGGCCUGGCUGUGGGAUGCGUGUUUGGGUCAGUCUGUGCCCUCUCAGUAUACACUGGAGCUGCUCGAUCCCUGAAGAGGCCCCGUGUCCCAGGCAUGGCAGGCACCUCACCUCUCCCUUUCCGGUGCUCACACGCCCCGCCGUGUCACCUGAUGCAGGACUCACCUCUGUGCCUUGCUGCUCCUGAGGCCCAAGGGCAGCUGUGGUGCUCUGUGCUGCUGGGGCCACCCAGGCCACAGAGCCUGAGCUUCGUAGCCAAAGCAGCCUGAUGACCCACCUACCAAGGAAGAAAGCAGAAUAAACAUUUUUGCCUGAAAAACCCCCUGGUGGUCAGGCUGAGCCUAG